UGAAGAUCAAGUGUCAAGGCUUUUGUAUCUUCUGCCUGAUGGAACAGGGGACAGAAGAGAAUGUCCAGGAUGGCGGGGGAGCAGUGUGAUCUCGGUUGUAGCUAGAACCAGGCCUCAAACUUGCCUGUCCAGAAGAAGGGACGUUGGAGGUGGUGUAGGACAGUGUCAAUGCUGGGUUGGGUGCUGGCCCCUCCUAUCAGUGCUGCCCUCCAGUGUUCAAAUUGUGGAAUGGCAAGCUGGAUUGUGUGAGUGCAUAUGAUCAUCUACCUACUGCUGAGAACUGCUUGUUCUUGCCAAUAAUGCCCAUGCACCAUCAAUUUACAGGACAAGUCACUUAGAGUCUUGGGCUAUAAUAUAAUUGACUUUUUUUUACUGCUAUUUUAUACAUCCUAUACAGUAUAUGCCUUGUGCUGUGUGUGACAGUAGGUACUGU